GAUGAACGCUGGCGGCGUGCCUAAUACAUGCAAGUCGAGCGAACAGACGAGGAGCUUGCUCCUCUGACGUUAGCGGCGGACGGGUGAGUAACACGUGGAUAACCUACCUAUAAGACUGGGAUAACUUCGGGAAACCGGAGCUAAUACCGGAUAAUAUAUUGAACCGCAUGGUUCAAUAGUGAAAGACGGUUUUGCUGUCACUUAUAGAUGGAUCCGCGCCGCAUUAGCUAGUUGGUAAGGUAACGGCUUACCAAGGCGACGAUGCGUAGCCGACCUGAGAGGGUGAUCGGCCACACUGGAACUGAGACACGGUCCAGACUCCUACGGGAGGCAGCAGUAGGGAAUCUUCCGCAAUGGGCGAAAGCCUGACGGAGCAACGCCGCGUGAGUGAUGAAGGUCUUCGGAUCGUAAAACUCUGUUAUUAGGGAAGAACAAAUGUGUAAGUAACUACGCACGUCUUGACGGUACCUAAUCAGAAAGCCACGGCUAACUACGUG
rnacentral:rRNA from 1 species